rnacentral:rRNA from 1 species
GAUUGUGAUUCCAGCACACUUGGAACUGAGAACCCGGUUCAGAUCCUACUGAGGCAGCACGGGGGAAAUAUGCACCCAAUGGGGAAUCCCUUGAUGCAGCACGCCCGCCGUGGAAGGAAUGACACAUUUCCGGUGCGUAACUCCUUUUAUUAUGAGAAGAUAAUGACCGUAUCAUAUGAAUAAGCACCGGCUAACUCCGUGCCAGCAGCCGCGUAAUACGGAGGGUGCAAGCGUUACUCGGGAUUCACUGGGCGUAAAGCGCGCGCAGGCGGCUAUUUAAAGUUGGAUGUGAAAGCCUACGGCUCAACCCGUAGAACUGCAUCCAAAACUAUUUAGCUAGAGUGUGGGAGAGGAAGAUGGAAUUAGUUGUGUAGGGGUAAAAUCCGUAGAGAUAACUAGGAAUACCAAAAGCGAAGGCAAUCUUCUGGAACACUACUGACGCUGAGGCGCGAAAGCGUGGGGAGCAAACAGGAUUAGAUACCCUGGUAGUCCACGCAGUAAACGAUGAAUGUUAGUCGUCGGGUAGCUAGUCUAUUCGGUGAUGCAGCUAACGCAUUAAACAUUCCGCCUGGGGAGUACGGUCGCAAGAUUAAAACUCAAAGGAAUAGACGGGGACCCGCACAAGUGGUGGAGCAUGUGGUUUAAUUCGAAGAUACGCGAAGAACCUUACCUAGCCUUGACAUAUUAAAGAACACUUUAGAGAUAGAGUGGUGCCUUCGGGAGCUUUUAUACAGGUGCUGCACGGCUGUCGUCAGCUCGUGUCGUGAGAUGUUGGGUUAAGUCCCGCAACGAGCGCAACCCUCGUCACUAGUUACUAACGGUUAGGCCGAGGACUCUAGUGAGACUGCCUUCGCAAGGAGGAGGAAGGUGAGGACGACGUCAAGUCAUCAUGGCCCUUACGGCUAGGGCAACACACGUGCUACAAUGGUUGGGACAAUGAGACGCGAUACCGCGAGGUGGAGCAAAUCUAUAAACCCAAUCUCAGUUCGGAUUGUAGUCUGCAACUCGACUACAUGAAGCUGGAAUCACUAGUAAUCGUAGAUCAGCUAUGCUACGGUGAAUACGUUCCCGGGUCUUGUACUCACCGCCCGUCACACCAUGGGAGUUGAUUUCACCCGAAGCGGGGAAGCUAAACUGGCUACCCUCCACGGUGGAAUCAGCGACUGGGGUGAAGUCGUAACAAGG